AUCGAAGAAAAGAUCUCAACUGCGAAGGAGGACUGGUGGAGCUGCUGCACCGAAAGAUUCUCCCCUGCUGGUAGGUUUGAUUUUUGUGAUUUUUCAGUCAAUCAAGGCCCCCUGACAUGUUUUUCUGUAGGAAUACGUGCAAAAUCGGCCAAAACCAAACAAACCAGCCAAAACUGGCCAGGCUGAGUCGAACUGCCGCUGUGGGCAGUGGAACCAGCGCCGCCAUGUCGGAACCCCAAAAUUGGCCGAAAUG
rnacentral:lncRNA from 1 species